UGUGCACGCCUCACUCGAAAAAGAGAAAAUAAUAAUAAUAUUAAUAAAAAAGAAGAAGAAGAGAGAGAGAGAUUACAAUCUCACAAACACACUCAGUCUCAGGGAGAAGAGAGAGAGAGAGAGAGAGAGAGUUUGGAAAAGGGAAAGUUUGGCGAAAAGGGUAGCAGAGAAAGAAUGGGAAAUGUUUGAAAAUGGUUUCGUUUUCAUGGGGUUUCUUUUGGGUGGGAUGAGAUCGAACUUUUUAUUCUUAUUUAGUUGAUGUAAAUUUGUUUUUUUUUUUUUUUUUUUUCUUGGAAUAAUAUAAAUGGGUGUUUAAAUUGGGUUGGUUUGGUGAGAGUUGGGAUUUCUCUGGGUUGAGAUUUGGGAGGUAGGGUUUUUGGUGAUUUGGGAUUGGUUAGGGGGAGUUGGUUGGGGGUGGGGGUAGGAGUUUUUUGUGAUGUUGUGUUUGGGUGUGGCAUACCAUUUGGAUCUAAGAUUUUUGGUCACUUAGACAAAAAAAGCAAGGGGGAAAUAUGGAGAGGAAGCUUUGGUCUUCAUUUUGCCUUUGGUUGAUUUUGGUGGUUCAUCCCUUAUGGGUGAUUAUGGUAUCUGCUAACAGGGAAGGUGAUGCCUUGCAUAGUCUGAGGACCAACUUACAGGAUCCCAACAACGUUCUGCAGAGUUGGAAUCCCACCCUUGUAAACCCGUGUACAUGGUUUCAUGUCACGUGCAACAAUGAUAAUAGUGUGAUAAGGGUUGAUCUUGGAAAUGCUGCUUUGUCUGGUCAACUUGUUCCACAGCUUGGCCUUCUCAAGAAUCUACAAUAUUUGGAACUUUACAGUAAUAACAUUAGUGGAACAAUUCCUAGUGAUUUGGGGAAUUUGACCAGCUUGGUUAGCUUGGAUCUGUAUUUGAAUACUUUUACUGGUCCUAUCCCGGACACCUUGGGCAAGUUGUCAAAAUUGAGAGUUCUUCGGCUUAACAACAAUAGUCUGACGGGUCCAAUUCCUAUGUCGUUGACCAACAUCGCCUCACUGCAAGUGCUGGAUCUAUCAAAUAACAAAUUAACUGGAGAGGUUCCAGACAAUGGCUCAUUUUCUUUAUUCACUCCCAUCAGUUUUGCUAAUAACUUAAAUCUAUGUGGCCCGGUCACUGGGCGGCCCUGUCCUGGAUCCCCCCCAUUUUCGCCUCCUCCUCCUUUUGUACCACCACCCCCAAUUUCAACCCCAGGUUCGCAGAGCACGACUCAAGACGAUUCUAGGGUCAGAUAGCGGGAAAAAGUCACAACGGGACCUAAGAUAUGACUUUGGAUAAGUCAGGGGUAUUUUUAGAUAGCAGGUAGCGAUUUGGAUUAUCGGGUCAUGAAAAUAAAUAUAUGGAGAUAUAUUUGAGGUUAGGAUGUCUAGGCGGGAAUAUUGGGGGAUUUUACCAUUUUGGCCUCGGGGACGGUUCCGGCACCCCGAGCCUCGGGAUUAACUUAAUGAGUGAGAUAGACAUAAGGAAGCCUUUAGAAAAUACAAACCGACUAAAACUUUUAUCUCAGCUCUCUCUCACUCUCAAGGAAAACAAAGGGAAGGAAAAACACAGUGAACUUAAGGGGGAACAAGCAGGAAUUUCUGAGAUUUGUAGUGAGGAUUUGGAGGUUUAGCUCAGGAGUAAAUCAAGAACAAAAACAAGGAUUAAGGUAAGCAUCUAAUCUUCUUUUCUGUGGUUGAAUUCUGAGUUCUAGCUGGGUUUUGGUCAAGUUUUGAAGCAAACAUGGUUUUGAUGUCUUAAGGCAGAAUUAAGGAGGAAACUUGGAGAUUUAGCUUGGCUUUGGCUUGGUGAUGUGAUUCAACAGAAGAGGUAAGUUUUAACUCAUGGUUUAGAGGUUUUAGAUUGGGUUUGGAUGGCUGGUUUGAAUGUUCAUAGCUCUUGAGUUUCAGAAAUUGAAAAGAGAAGAUUAGUGUGUGUUGGGUUGGGUUGAGUUUUCUGUGGAAUUAAAUUGUUUAAGUCAUGUUAAAGGUAUUGGAUUUGUUGGGUGUUGAAAUAGGGAGCUUAAGGGUGGUUGUGGCUGAGGUUUUGAACCUUGAAAUGGUGUAAAUUCUGGGUUCGAAGGGGAGGGUCGCGGCUCUGUUCUAGAGCGCUGCGGCCCUAGCAUGCAAAGGAGCCAAGGAGGCUCGGCCAAAGGCAAGCGCCGCGGCGCCCAAAGCAAGGGUCGCGGCGCGUGUCCUCCUUCAGCUGUGGUGUUGGUUCUGUUUUGGGGAAGGGCCGCGGCUAGGCUUCAGGGGCCGCAGCCCUUGGUUGCACUCAUGAAUUUUUGAGGGUUUUAGGCACGGGAAAGUGGUCUAGUGUGCUUGGGUUUGGUUUCACCACCGUGCUUGGUGGGAUUUGGAAUCCCGGGAGUUAGUUUUGUAACUAGAAACCUAUAUUGGAGUAUUAAUGGAACCCUAUACUUUGGUUGUGACUAGGAGAUAAAGACUUAGGCUUGGGAGCGGAUCGUGCUUGAGAGGCGUUGCUCGUAAUCCAAUAACUGCACAGACUAAAGGUAAAGGCAAGGGAAAAUUAGACCAGCCUUGAUUGGAGAGCUCAACGAGCGGAAUGUACAUAGCCAGGUGCUCGGCCGCCACGGUUGAGGUUUAGGCAAGAACGUGAAACCUGAAGUCUGUUUGUUUUGCCUUAGUAUGGCUAGUGAAUACUCAUGUACUUUUGGGAGUCUGUAAACUUAUUUAAAACUUGUUUUCUUAUGGGAUCCCAUGUUUACUACAGUUUAAAUAUAUGAAAUGAGUCUUUUGAGACCAAAACCUUUCUAACCCUGACUCUACAUGCUUAGUGACACGUCUUUAAAAUAUUGACUUGAUUAGCAAGUCUUGCACCUUUAUAAGUACACAGUGUAACGGUCUUGGCUAUCCAGGGCGUUACAACUUGGUAUCAGAGCGUCCUAGGUUUAAGGAUUCCUGAAGACAGCCUGGACAUGUACAUUCGCUGCUGGAGACAAGCUCAAGUCAAGGUUGGUAAGGUGUAUAUGUGUGUUUAUGUGCUUAUGUGCCUGAGAUGAGCUAUGCAUUUUGUGAUUCAUUGAAUUGCUGGGAAGCAUGAGGUACUGAUAGGGCUUGGCCCUUGACUGCUGUGUGAAAAUAUUGAGGCAUGUUUAUUAACAUUGUCGUGCAUGUAAAUGGGUAUGUGGAUGAUUAAUUGUA